CCUACGGGAGGCAGCAGUGGGGAAUAUUGCACAAUGGGGGAAACCCUGAUGCAGCGAUGCCGCGUGGAGGAAGAAGGUUUUCGGAUUGUAAACUCCUUUUAUCAGGGACGAUAAUGACGGUACCUGAAGAAAAAGCUCCGGCUAACUACGUGCCAGCAGCCGCGGUAAUACGUAGGGAGCGAGCGUUGUCCGGAAUUACUGGGUGUAAAGGGAGCGUAGGCGGGACGGCAAGUCAGAUGUGAAAACUGAGGGCUCAACCUUCAGACUGCAUUUGAAACUGCUGUUCUUGAGUGAAGUAGAGGUAAGCGGAAUUCCUAGUGUAGCGGUGAAAUGCGUAGAUAUUAGGAGGAACAUCGGUGGCGAAGGCGGCUUACUGGGCUUUUACUGACGCUGAGGCUCGAAAGCGUGGGGAGCAAACAGGAUUAGAUACCC
rnacentral:rRNA from 1 species